rnacentral:rRNA from 1 species
UUGAUUAUCAAUAUGUUUUACUGGAGUACUAUGAAUACAAUUUAAAACUCAAAGGGCUUGGCGGUGCUUUAGACUCUUCAGGGGAACCUGUCUCGUAAUCGACAUUCCACGAAUUUACCUUACCUUUAAUCAGUAUGUAUACCGUCGUCGUCAGGUAACUUUUAAAAAUAUAGAAGUUAGCAAACUUAAACGUCAGAUCAAGGUGCAGCUAAUAAAAAGGCGAGGAUGGGUUACAAUUAAAAGUUAUAACAACGGAAAUGAGCUUUGGAAGGCGGACUUGAAAGUAAAAAUUAGUAUUUAAAUUUUUUGAAUUAAGCUCUGAGGCG